UCAAACUCAGAAAUCCACCUGCUUUUGCCUCCAGAGUGCUGGGAUUAGAGGCAUGUGCCACCAAACCUGUCUUCUCUGUAGUCUUUUUACUUGUGGCUCUGUAGGAACAAAAAUGGUGACUUAUAUAGAAACAAGGGGGGGGUGCUUACCAGAUGGAUUGGGGGAGUUAAGAUGGGUGAAGGGUGAGAAGCCUCCUCCCUGGGUAACUCUACAUUAUGGAAGUAGUAGGUAUAUUUGGGGACGAUGGAAUGUCUAAUUCCAGCUUCGAACUUUGGUGGUUUAGUCCCUGUGGAUUUUAGGUUGCAAUGCUGUAAUUAACAUAAUUAGGUUCCUUUCUCCCUUAGAGUUGUUCCAUGGGACAGAGCACCUUCUCGCUUGAUGAACAAAGGACCAGAAGGGACAUGUCCCUCUUCUUUAUGUUGUUGUAUGUGUUGGUUGGUUAGAGGCAGAGAUAUAACUGUCCACCCUCCCUCAGAUCUCUUCUUCACAGAUGUCAAAACCCUUUUGAGGAAUCCGUGAAAUGUGAACUCUGACUGGAUUGUAGAGGUUUGGUGAAACAGCUGGAGAAUUUCAGAAAGCUAAGCAGGAUAGUCUAGACAUCACUUUCUUAUCUCUGCUGGCCUCUCGGGGAGCUUUUCCUCAGCGGGGGUCCAGGCUCAGGAAAACUGGCUUAACUGGCAAAAACCCCCAUCUGGAACAAGUUUAGACCAGUCUCAAAAAGUAUAGGGUUAUGGUUACUUGUGUGAGAAGAACAUAAAACGAUUUGUUAGAUUUGAUAUUAAAGAAUUUUUUUUUUGGAGUCAUGAGCAAGUUUGUUUGUCUGCAUAAAAUUAUGUCUGCUACAUGUGUGCAGGUGCCCAUAGAGGCCAGAGGAAUUGAUCAUCUGGAAACAGGAGUUUAGGGCUGCUAUGAACUGCCUGUUACAGGUUGUAGCUAUUAAACCUCGAUCCUCUGUUAGAUCAGUAGGCAUCUUAACCACUGAGCCAUCUCUACAGCCCGAUUUUUGGUAUUAAAAGAGAAUCUAGGAAGAGGAAAUAUCGUUCACAUGAUGAAGUACUUGCCUAGCAUGUGUAAAGUUUGAUGGCAGACACCUGUAAUGGUAAUACUUGACUAGAAUGCUGGGUGGAGGCAGGGUGAGCAGAACUCACUUCCGAGGUUAUCCACAAAUUCAUAGUGAGCUUGAAACCAAUCUGGGCUGGAGACCCUGUCUCAUAAAGACAAUGGGACAAAGAAAGGAAAGAGGGAGAGGGAACACAUCGUUUCUUACCUACCAGGCCUUUAUUAAUACUCAUUAUGCACAGACAUUGUACUUUGCAUUGAUGUAUUCUUAUGGACAAAGGAGUGAUACAUUGUUACGAAUCGAAUAAUUUUUGUAAAGAAAACACACAGUAACACAGCAGAAAUGUAGGGAACGUGAUGAACUGGAAGAGAGAUCAGGGAACAUCUGAACACAGUAAGUUUGAAAUAUUUUCGAAAUUAACCAAAUGGAGGAGGUAGAGAAUCAAGCUACUUCAGACUUCUCCGUACCUUUGGCCACUGUGCCCUUCAGAAACUUCCAGAAAUGGAAAUGUUAUUUGUGCCUUGGUAGUUGUCAAAACAACGAUAUCCUGCCUAUAAUAGCCAAGGGACAGAAUGUGUACUUUCCUCCCUAGGACCAUGGGCGUUGGCUUUUUACCUUAAAUAUAUGUGCCAAAUUACCUGGAAUGCUGUCGCUUCCUCUCUGACCGUUGGAAAUAAGUCUAGCUGCGUCAGGCUCCAGGCGCUCAGGCUGUAUCCUCUGCUUUCCUUAGUGGCUGUCUCAGAGUGCUCAGCUCCUAAUCAGAGUGAGGCUGUUUUGUGUCAGACAGUUAACUGCCUGCUGGUGCGAUAAACCUUAAGCACUCUGUCUAGAAGGCUUUUCUCAAGAUGGAUUGCACAUUUGCCCCUUUGAUGCCACAAUAAGUAGGUCUUUAUUUGCUAUAAACAUAGUUUAAAAUAGUGCCAAGCUAAGCUUUGAAGACUGAAGUAGUCUGUCUCUCCACAGUGGUCUGCCUGUGGUGACAUGGCCUGGGCUAGUUUUAGUAUACCUGAGAUUGUGCUCCGUUUCCCUUACGCUUGUCUUAAGAACUCCAUUUAGACGGUGAAGUUUGAUUGAAUUUCUUUCUUUGAGUCUUAAACAUGGGAGGGAAGUCACAUUAUGAUGACAUACAUCAGAGAUGACAUAGCACAGUCAACCCACCUGGGUCAGUGACAUCUGCUCAAGGAGGACCUGACAGCAACCAUGCGGUCCACUCUUGGCUCCACCCCUCGUCAUGAAUUAGAACCACCAUUCUGACCCCAACCUCAGUGGUGGGUAAGUUUUAUGAGCUUUGAAAGUUUAUAUGGACAGAUGAAUUUGGCAUGGAUUCUUUUAUUCCUGGCUUUUAAUUCUUACUGUGUUAUUGAUGUUUUCAGUGUAGCAUGCAGGCUCAGAUCAGUCUCUUAAUUUGUGGAUAAUUGUAGCAUGCGUAUGUUUACAUUUCUUUAUGUGCUCUACAUUGUGUGUGUGUGUGUGUGUGUGUGCGUGCGCGUGUGUGCGCGCGCGCGCGCAUGUCUGUACCUGGGUGUGGUAGCCAGAAGUUGAUGUUUGGUAUCUUCCUCAGUUGCUGUCUUUGUGAGACAGGGUCUCUUGAUGCUUGCCCUAGGAGUCUUCCUGCUGCCAUCACAGAUGUCUGCUGCUGCAGCUGGCCUUUUACAGGGGCACAGAUCCAAGCUCAGGUCCUUGGGCUUGUACGGCAGGCACUUCCUGACUGAGUUGUCUCCAGCCUCAUGUGUUCUAGUUGGAGGACAUUAUGUUGUAUGUGGUUUGGGAAUGUUAGAAAUAAAGAGUAUGGUAUUGGCGUAUACCUGCAUGCUUGUUUCUCUGGGGUCUAGCCUGGAUGGGAUUGUAGUGCUGACUGGACACUGGGCAUUUCUCCAAUUCCAGUAGAAAGUUCCAUAGCCUGCAAAGCAUGCCUCACUGUGGUUCUACCUCGUGGCCCACCGGCACCAUCCUCAUUUCCACUAUCCAGCAUCCUUAGUAGGGAUGAUUUAUUGUAUUUCGUUUUUUAAAACAACUUUUUUUUGGGUGGGGUGGGGUGGGCAGGACUAGAGAUUAGAUUCAGGCCCUGGUUCAUACUAGGCCAGCCUCUCUUUCUGAUCCACACCCCAGGUCUUGGACACCAUUUACUUUUAUCCGUCUAAAGAGAUGUGUGCUUUAAAGGCUGGGGGCAUAGCUCAGGGGUAGCUUGCCUCUCCUGUCCAAAGCCAUGGUUUGAACCUAGUGUGCGUGAGGAAGCGUGCACACAGAGAGAACAAGAGAGAGAUUGACUGACUGAGGAAAUGAUUGAGAUUUGGAGUUUAAGAAGUCUGAAUUUACCUAAGGCCUCCCACCGAAGGACGGCCAUAAGAUGACUGAGGCUGUGUUUGCGUCAGGAUCUCAGCCUUCGGACUCUAGCACCCUGUGGUCCAAAUGCCAAGUGCUAAGAUAUGUGAGGUUGGCACAUUUAGUCUCUGUGAGCCUCAGUGUUUCUUUUAGCAGGAUGGAAAGCAUUUGCAAUUCCUCAAGAGUGGUUACAAGCCCUGCACCCUCGCCCAGUGUGCUUCCUUAGUUGCGGCCUUGUUCAUUGUCACAGGACCGAUAAGCUCUUUGCCCAUUUUACUGCUGUGGAAUAAUACUCCAGUAUGUGUUUCAUUUUAAUUUUCACGGAAACAGUUAUUUCACUGAGAGUAUAUGAGGUCGGAACCCGUGCAUCCUUCCUGGAGCCGCCAUGUGUGAUUGCUGUCUAUUUGAGUGUGUGCAUGUUUUGAAGGACAUCUUGAGCCCUGGGAUGCUGUGGAUGUGUCUGCCUUUGACACAGGACAGCAGAAAAGGAAAUGGUGCUUGGCUGUUUUAUUUUUCCUUUGUCAGGUCUCUGCAUCCUCCACUGAAAGCAAAACAAAGGCCCCGCCGGCUGCAUAAAUAUUGUGACUGGCAGCUCCAGGGUUGCUGCUGUCCUUUUCCCCUUUCCUACAAUUGCUGAGCGACUUAGGGAGGCACAGCAAAGCCCCGUGGUUGUCACGCUGGUGUUUGAAAAGUGACCUUGCAAUUCCAGAACUAAAAAUGGAGAUCGAAAGAAAAAUAAGCAGCCCAGUCAUUUUUGGAGAGAAGUUGAGGGGCAUUUGCUGGGAAGAGAAGGCUUUCCCUCCCUGACACCCAGGUUGUUGUACCAUGUUCCUGAGUCUCAGGAAACCCAGUGCAAGGUGGCACCCUAGGUACCUUCAUCUGAGCACUUUCCUACUCACUUUUACUUGAUGAGCAGAACAUUCCAGAAGUCUGGCUAGGAGACAGGAAAAGGAGCGCUCUGAGUAUAUCCUUGCGGAGUCUGACUUAGAGAAUUCCAGGGCUGUUCCCUGUGUCAGUUUCUGUUCUGAAUACGUGGGCAUCCUCAGUUCUUUCUGUUCUCAGAACUGCCCUGUAAGUUGGGAAGUCUAUUUAGUGGCGAGGAAACCAAGACAGCACCUGUUUAAGUAAUUUGGCUGAGAUCACUCAGUUACUAUUUAAGAGGGUUGCCAUUUGAAGUGUGGUUUAGUCCAGAGUCAGUGUCCUUACGCAUAGCACACCUCCUGUACACCCAUGUGUCUGUCACACAAGCCCACUUCUGCUUCACCGUGGAGAUAGCCAUUGUUCAUUUAGCCUCACUUCCUAUGUGGUUGGAAGCAACAGGUCUGGCGUGUGCCACCUACAGCGUAUGCACCCUACGACAUACUGUUAAUACCUGAGCUCUGCCAUGUAGCCCGAGGUUGGCCUAGCUUUCUUUCAGAGUGAUCGUAAUGGAGGUCACUCUCUGCCUAGGACCUGUGUGUCCUCCCCACCCCCAACUAGCUUCUGAGGAAAACCGUGGGAAACAAAGGCCUUCGGAGGUUUUCAGAAACCUGAAUGCAAACUCAAAUCUCAUCUGCUCCCAAAACUCUACUACCUAAAAUCUUGAAAAAUAUUUUGUUUUAGGUUAUUCCCACAAGGUUGUUAGUCUGAGAGUGAUCCAGGCCUCAGAGGCCUGACUUUUUGCCCCUGACAUUAGGUUGGAGAGCAGUGGUUGAGGUUGAGUGGUGGUGAAGGAAAUGAAUUCAUUUAGUAUUACAGCUACUAUCGGGAUGCCGCCACUUCAGAGAGGGAUGCCGUGUCCCACAGCUGAGGUGAAGCUUUUAAAGUUGUCCAGUUUUACAGAGGGCGGCGUAAAGUCACAAACGUGCAUCGACUAUCAUCCUUCCUAACCAGGGUUCUUUCUAGAUGAAUGCUGUUGCAGAAUUUUUCUCCUUUCUCUUCCCAUUUGGCAGUCAUUUUUUAUUUUAUUUUUUUCUCAUUAGAGGCACGGCUUGUUCAAGUGCCCCUGUGUUGUGAAGUUCUUGUCUAAAGAAGGCUUGUCAGGCCCCAUGAGCCUUGCACAACAGACAAACCUUCAUUUGUUCAGUGUUGGGAGAGGAAUGUGGCUGCUACCCCUGCCUCCCUGGAUACACCUGUAGGGCUGGUUCCCCUAAGGAACCUUACUGCUCUAUCUUUAACUCAGCCAAAGUUUGCUCUCCCUAGCAACGCUGUGUCAAUAGUGACAGGAUGCAGAGGGACUAAGGUUUCUGUGUUCUUUUUUUUUUUUUUCCCCCCUGCUUAAGCCCCAAAUAUGUGUGUAAUCUCUCUUAACUGGUAUGGUAAAGUCGAAACUUGCCUUAUCACUGGCUUGAGAGGCUCCUGG
rnacentral:sRNA from 1 species